GAUGAACGCUGGCGGCGUGCCUAAUACAUGCAAGUCGAGCGAACAGACGAGGAGCUUGCUCCUCUGACGUUAGCGGCGGACGGGUGAGUAACACGUGGAUAACCUACCUAUAAGACUGGGAUAACUUCGGGAAACCGGAGCUAAUACCGGAUAAUAUAUUGAACCGCAUGGUUCAAUAGUGAAAGACGGUUUUGCUGUCACUUAUAGAUGGAUCCGCGCCGCAUUAGCUAGUUGGUAAGGUAACGGCUUACCAAGGCGACGAUGCGUAGCCGACCUGAGAGGCUGAUCGGCCACACUGGAACGGGGACACGGACCAGGCUCCUACGGGAGGGAGCAGUAGGGAAUCGUCCGCAAUGGGCGGAAGCCUGACGGAGCAACGCCGAGUGAGUGACGAAGGUCUUCGGAUCGUAAAACUCUGUUAUUAGGUGAGAACAAAUGUGUAAGUAACUAUGCACGUCUUGACGGUAACUAGUCAGAAAGCCACGGCUAACUACGUG
rnacentral:rRNA from 1 species